GUCCUCAUUGCGCAAUGGACAGCGCGCUGGACUUCUAAUCAAGAGGUCGUGGGUUCGAAUCCCACUCGGGAUA
rnacentral:tRNA from 1 species